GACGUAGGGCGCGAGCGUUUGUCCGGAUUUAUUGGGCGUAAAGAGCUCGUAGGCGGCUUGUCGCGUCGAAUGUGAAAACCCACAGCUCAACUGUGGGCUUGCAUUCGAUACGGGCAGGCUAGAGUUCGGUAGGGGAGACUGGAAUUCCUGGUGUAGCGGUGAAAUGCGCAGAUAUCAGGAGGAACACCGGUGGCGAAGGCGGGUCU
rnacentral:rRNA from 1 species